GCAGUAGCAAAAGGAGCUUCCCUCAACCAUGUCUCCAGAGAAUCCUCCGAUGUUAGACGCCUCGCCAACUUCUACAAAGAGAUCUUUGGUUUUGAGGAGAUAGAGAGUCCAAAUUUCGGGGAGUUCAAGGUGAUAUGGCUGAAUCUCCCUCAAGCUUUCUCUCUCCACCUAAUUGAGAGAAGCCCCACCACGAAGCUUCCAGAAGGGCCCUACAGCGCUGCCUCACCGGUUCUUGAUCCCAGUCAUCUCCCCAGAGGCCAUCAUAUCUGCUUCUCCGUUUCCAAUUUCGAUUCCUUCGUCCAAACUCUCAAGGUCCACUCUAAUAUUUUGAUGAAUUAAUCCAUGAAAUUGGUAUUAUAUCGUUUGUGUAAAUGAUAAUAGAAAUGAAAUCUUGAAAUUUAAUUGAUAAAACAAUAUUAAAUUUAGCUGCCUUAUAGCCAAGAAUAGUAGUAAGUUUUGAAUCACGAGAUGGGAAACUUAUGAAGUUGAUUACUUAGAGCAUGUUCGAUUGGUUUUUAAAAUGAAAAUAGAUGUCAAGAUUUCAAGAAUCCUAUUUCCAAAUUCGUAGUUUUUUUAUGGGCAACUAAUUGAAGUUUAUUUUUGAAAAAAUUAAAUAAAAUUUAGCGAUAAUCUCAAGAAUAUACGUACUUACAAGUAUAUGCCAUUUAUUUUUUCCAACAUAAACUCAGUUUAUUUAAAUAUAAGUUAUUAUAAAAAAUUUGGAUUUUUCAUCAACCAAACGAAACAAAAAUGGAAUCUUAUUCCAAGAAUUGCCACCAUUCCCAAUUCCAGAGCAAGCUAAACGCGGCCUUAAUGAUCUACAAAACCUAGCUAGUAGUUGUAGGCUUGUAGCUUGCAUAAAGAAGGGGCAUUUCAGGUGCUUUGAGAUUGCGUUCUGUGUAGAAGUUUGAACGUUCGAAGCAUUUUGCUGUCUUUUACUAGCAAAUAACAGUUAUGGAUAAGUUUUUUUUUUCCUUUUACAAUUUGGUUCAGAUUGAAGUAUUUGAUUUUUUAAAUCCAUUUCAUAAAGUGGCUAAACUGAAAUGUGAAAUUCAGGAUAAGGGAAUUGAAACUUUCCAAAGGUCUGUUCCUGGUCGUGCAAUUAGGCAGGUCUUCUUCUUUGAUCCGGAUGGUAAUGGAUUAGAAGUUGCAAGUCGUGAUGAAUAGAGUUGCACUCCACAGGCACAAGUGUGUUGAACAUUUAGCUAUUGUUAAGAGGGAAUAUAAAUAAACAAUGACAAGAACUUGCACUAAAAUUCCCUCACACAUAUAUAUAUAUAUUUAUGGUAGUUCCUUCAUACCCCUUAUGAUCAUGAUCUGAUCCUUAUUGUACUAAGUUUUUCUUCCUUUUAGUCAUUGAUUGGCAUAUGAUUAUGGUUAAUAUUUGGCUUUGGCUCAAGGACUGCAGUUUGUCGUGUGCAUCUACAUGAAUAGGGUAAGUUGAAUAGCUA
rnacentral:misc_RNA from 1 species